GGAAAUGCCGGGAAGGCAUAUGUUCCCUGCUUUGCACGCAGGAGGUCGGCGGUUCGAUCCCGCUCGGCUCCACCA
rnacentral:tRNA from 1 species